rnacentral:rRNA from 1 species
CCUACGGGUGGCAGCAGUGGGGAAUAUUGGGCAAUGGAGGCAACCCUGACCCAGCAACGCCGCGUGAAGGAAGAAGGUUUUCGGUUUGUAAAGUUCUUUUGUAAGGGAAGAAGCAAGUGACGGUACCUGAGGAAUAAGCCUCGGCUAACUCCGUGCCAGCAGCCGCGGUAAUACGUAGGUGGCAAGCGUUAUCCGGAUUGACUGGGGGUAAAGGGGGGGUAGGCGGGACUGCAAGUCAGAUGUGAAACCCACGGGCUCAACCUGUGGACUGCAUGUGAAACUGUAGUGCUGGAGUACAGGAGAGGCAGACGGAAUGCCUAGUGUAGCGGUGAAAUGCGUAGAUAUUAGGAGGAACACCAGUGGCGAAGGCGGGCUGCUGGACAGCAACUGACGCUGAGGCGCGAAAGCGUGGGGAGCAAACAGGAUUAGAUACCCCAGUAGUC